GGAUGUGAGGGCGAUAUGGCUAUGACAUCUGUCACCCCAUUGAUCGCCAGGGUUGAUUCGGCUGAUCUGGCUGGCUAGGCGGGUGUCCCCUUCCUCCCUCACCGCUCCUUGUGCGUCCCUCCUGAAGCUGCGCCCUCGGUUGAAGAGGACGGCCAUCCCGGCUAGAGGAGGACUGGUCUUCGGUCAAGGGCAUACGAGUAGCUGCACUCCCCUGCUAGAACCUCCAAACAAGCUCUCAAGAAGUAAUUUUGCGGGCCCGGUGGCAUGGCCUAGCAGCUAAAGU
ensembl:misc_RNA 7SK 7SK RNA